rnacentral:rRNA from 1 species
CCUACGGGUGGCAGCAGUGGGGAAUAUUGCACAAUGGGGGAAACCCUGAUGCAGCAACGCCGCGUGGGUGAUGAAGGUUUUCGGAUUGUAAACUCCUUUCAGUAGGGAAGAAAAUGACGGUAUCUAAUUAAGAAGCACCGGCUAACUCCGUGCCAGCAGCCGCGGUAAUACGUAGGGGGCAAGCGUUACCCGGAAUUACUGGGCGUAAAGGGCGCGUAGGCGGCACAGCAAGUCAGAUGUGAAAUGCCAGGGCUUAACCACAGAACUGCAUUGGAAACUGUGCUGCUAGAGUAUGGGAGAGGUAGGUGGAAUUCUUGGUGUAGGGGUAAAAUGCGUAGAGAUCAGGAGGAAUACUAAUGGCGAAGGCGACUUGCUGGAACAUAACUGACGCUGAGGCGCGAAAGCGUGGGGAGCAAACAGGAUUAGAUACCCGAGUAGUC